rnacentral:lncRNA from 1 species
UGGAAUAACAACUUUCCUGUAAGUUUGUUGUGACAAGUAGAGAAAAUAUGAUAUGAGAAUUGCCUUAAGAAACUCCACGUUCUCACACUGGGGUAUCAGAGGCACAGGCAAGAACCAGCGAGCAGGUGGAUGGAGGCGAAGAUCAGAUACGAGAAAGAUGCGAGCACAGCCUCUUGCUGGGCCCCAGAGCGUUCUGGAUGCUGGAUCAGGAGAAAUCCAGUUUUCUACAGUGCUGCGUCUGAGAAAGCCUGGAUCUUUCAGCCACACCGCCCAGAGAGCAGAGUGUGACCCGG